UGUUUCCUACGGGGGGCAGCAGUGGGGAAUAUUGGACAAUGGGGGGAACCCUGAUCCAGCGACGCCGCGUGAGUGAAGAAGUAUUUCGGUAUGUAAAGCUCUAUCAGCAGGGAAGAAAGAAAUGACGGUACCUGACUAAGAAGCCCCGGCUAACUACGUGCCAGCAGCCGCGGUAAUACGUAGGGGGCAAGCGUUAUCCGGAUUUACUGGGUGUAAAGGGUGCGUAGGCGGCUUGGCAAGUCAGUAGUGAAAUCCAUGGGCUUAACCCAUGAACUGCUAUUGAAACUGUCGAGCUUGAGUGAAGG
rnacentral:rRNA from 1 species